AGUGAACGCUGGCGGUAGGCCUAACACAUGCAAGUCGAACGGCAGCACAGUAAGAGCUUGCUCUUACGGGUGGCGAGUGGCGGACGGGUGAGGAAUACAUCGGAAUCUACUUUUUCGUGGGGGAUAACGUAGGGAAACUUACGCUAAUACCGCAUACGACCUACGGGUGAAAGCAGGGGAUAUUCGGACCUUGCGCGAUUGAAUGAGCCGAUGUCGGAUUAGCUAGUUGGCGGGGUAAAGGCCAACCAAGGCGACGAUCCGUAGCUGGUCUGAGAGGAUGAUCAGCCACACUGGAACUGAGACACGGUCCAGACUCCUACGGGAGGCAGCAGUGGGGAAUAUUGGACAAUGGGCGCAAGCCUGAUCCAGCCAUACCGCGUGGGUGAAGAAGGCCUUCGGGUUGUAAAGCCCUUUUGUUGGGAAAGAAAAGCAGCAGGUUAAUACCCCGCUGUUCUGACGGUACCCAAAGAAUAAGCACCGGCUAACUUCGUG
rnacentral:rRNA from 1 species